rnacentral:lncRNA from 1 species
UUUGCUCGAUCUGCUAGACCAAAACAAGAUCCUAAGGAAGGAAAAAGAAAGUGUUAAAAAUUAAUAAAGAAGCAUUCCUGCGUAAAUACUGCUGUAAUACUGUCAUGCAAAGUGUAUCCUUUCUUGUCUCUUGUUUCUUCUAUUUGUAUGUUUCCUAAACCUAAUUCAAUAACAUAUGCUUUCUGUUGUGUAAUAUAUCUGGUUUAGGUAUUUAUAAUGUGUUUAAAAUUUGGGCAA